rnacentral:rRNA from 1 species
UACGUAGGGUGCAAGCGUUGUCCGGAAUUAUUGGGCGUAAAGGGUGCGUAGGUGGCGCUGUAAGUCGGGUGUGAAAUUUCGGAGCUUAACUCCGAAACUGCAUUCGAUACUGCGGUGCUUGAGGACUGGAGAGGAGACUGGAAUUCAUGGUGUAGCAGUGAAAUGCGUAGAGAUCAUGAGGAAGACCAGUGGCGAAGGCGGGUCUCUGGACAGCUCCUGACACUGAGGCACGAAGGCCAGGGGAGCAAACGGG